AGUAUACUUCCAUACACUAGUCGUUUGAGACUUAAAAAUCUUCAUACAAUUUUUAGUCGUAGGGGAAUGGUUUUCCUAAUAUUCUUAGUGAAAAUUGAAUGGAACAGUUUGCAGUACUUUUUGCCUGUCUGAACCUGUCCUGUAAAACAAAUUUCGAACUAAACGCAUAUGUCAUGAUUUUAAUUCUCAUUUCAGCACAUUUGUUUUAUCUGAUUCACUUUUCAAAAUUAAAGAGACUAUAUUGCUUUCUAGUAAUAAAUAAAAACGUAACAAUUAAUUAAAUCUACAAUAGUUAAUUUGUUGGUAAUUUGCACUAAGUACUCGCGAAAUAAGGAACUAAUGAACGACACUCUUGAUUUAUACGAUUAACUCUACAAUGUUGUAGUAAUCGAAAAUGACGGAAAACGCUCGGUUUGGGAAAUUAAUAAGCAAACGGCGUCGCGCAGGAAAACGUUGCAAAAUGCAGAAAAACUCUGAUGUCCGUAUAGGCUCGAUGAUGGCGAUCGAAUAAAAGAGGCCCGUAUCCAGUUGUCGAUCCUUUUUGUUGAUUGGGCAGAGUGGUGUAGUGUCUUCGGGAGUGGAUGCUAUUAUUGUGGUGUGUUGGAGUGUAUGAGUGGUGCUUGUGAAAUGGUGUGUGGGGCUUGUAGAGGGAUGUUCGCUGGGAAGGCUUAUAGCUCAUUUAGCCAAUAUCGUAACUUAAAAUCAUAGCUGUUGAAAUGUUUGUUUCUGUAGCUGAGUAGUUUAGAUCUCAACGCUUAAAAAACUCUCGCUUUUUCUGACACGACUAAUUCCGCACGUAUUCUUUGGUUUAUUAUUAUAAGAGCAGCUCUCUUUGGCAUCUGUGGUGGACUACGGCGAACUUCAACAAUGACACUAAAUGCCGUUCCACACAUAGCACCCGUAGAGAUAGCCGACUGAUAUAUUGCUGCGCAUGUCGCUGUAGGAUUGCAGCUCGUUAUAUGGAAGUACCGGCAGCUGGGUAUAUGAAAGAAUCCUAACAGGGACAUCCUGCGUAGCAGAGUCUAUUUCUUGUGGCUAGAUGGAAGGUUAGACGGGGAGUUUUACAUGCAAGAUGUCUGUUGUUAAGGUGAUAGUUGAUGUUUUGCUCCCACAUUUAGCGAGGUGAGCAUUCAUCACGACAGCAGAGCAGCUAUAUUAGCGUUGAGCUCAGUUAAUGUGCGCUGAAAGCUAGUCAGUAUCGAUAAUUUCAAGUUACUACACUCAUUUGAGUGGCCAUCGUAAAGGGCAAGUAGAGAAACUAUCAAAUGAUCAUUGCAAACAAAGCUACAGCUGAGAAGUGUCCAUGGAGAAACGUCAAGACCGCCUAGGAGUUGAGUUUCUAUUGACAGCCAAGAUGACCGACUUUUGACCUGAAAAUGGUGGCAUAUUGCUAUUUUCUUUUAAUUUAUAUAAAAGUUGUCCAAAAAAUAUUGAUUA